ensembl:lncRNA
GUCUCCCAGGGCUAGAUCUCUCAGGCCUCUGAGCUGGGCGAUCCGUGGGCUCACUGACUCUUGACAUCCUGCAGGUUGUGGUAUCUGUCGCCCUGUUUUUCAGAUGAGAAGAUGAAAUCUCAGAGACUUCAUUUGCCCUGACUACAAAGCUUCAGGGUUUUUUGUUGUUGUUGUUGCAUCCUCAAUUACUUCUUGUGGGAUUAAUAACAGCUACCUCAGAGCUGAUCUGUGCCUGAGACAGCACUUGAAACACCAUUGGACGGUAAUGGCGGUCGUGUACUCUGUCUUGCCAGUGCUUCCUUGAGGGAGGAGGCAAAUAAAUUAGCUCUUAGAUGCAGAACUAAAUUCUUUUACUUAGUUUAUUAUUAAUUUUCUUUAAUGGCCCUGCCGCGAGGUAUGCAGGAGCUUAGUUCCCCAGUCAACAGUCCCUUCAGGAGAAGUGGAGAGUCUUAACCACUGGACCACCAGGGAAGUCCCUAAAUUCUUUUUCUUCAAAGGCGUUCCUUUGGGCUAUAUCAAAGAGUUUAUUGUCUUUCAAAUAUGACUGCCUCAAAAAAGAAAUGUUUUACUCCUGGAAUCAAAGAAACUUUGAAGAGAGAAAACUGGGAGAUGGGGGCGGGGGGACGUUGGUGGUGUUUGGGCGCCCUCUGCUGGUCACAUAGUGGAACUCCAAGGAGACGGUCAAGCGAGGCCUCUAGGCCUGAGGCCCAAGGCUUUGCCUUUGGCUGCAACACAAAUCUGGGAGGCCCCCUCUCACCUGGUAACCCACCCUCACCUUCUGCGUCAUAAAGGAAACAUUGAGACCACCGGAUGUGAACUCUCAACUUCCUGCCCACCGCCCACAGAAGUAUCCAGCCUGUGCCUCCUUCCUCCUGCUUUCUGAAGCUGGUUCCUCGCCGGGCCGGGAGCCCUUUCCUCUCCGGUCUCUUAGAGAACCUAGACUUGGCUCCUCUCUCCAGUAUUUUUUUCUUUAAAAAUGAGUUUAUAUUUACAGAAAAUUUCAGCCUAAUACAGAGUUCUCAUAUGCUUUGCACUCAGUUUCCUUAAUUAUUAACCUCUUACAUAGCACAUUUGUUACAAUUAAUGAACCAAUAUCGAUACAUUAUUAUUAUUAACUCCAUAUUACUAAUAGCUGCAUAUUAACUGCAUUGUGUGUGUGUGUGUGUGUGUGUGUGUGUGUGUGUGUGUGUGAGUUGCUCAGUCGUGUCCGACUCUUUGUGACCCAUGGACUGUAGUCCACCAGGCUCCUCUCUCUAUGGAAUUCUCUAGGCAAGAAUACUGGAGUGGGUAGCCAUUCCCUUUUCCAGAGACCUUCCCAACCCAGAGAUCAAACCCCGGUCUCCUGCACUGCAGGCAGAUUCUUUACCGUCUGAGCCACCAACUCAUCGAGUUGGACACCUUAAAUA